rnacentral:rRNA from 1 species
GAUGAACGCUGGCGGCGUGCCUAAUACAUGCAAGUCGAGCGAACAGACGAGGAGCUUGCUCCUCUGACGUUAGCGGCGGACGGGUGAGUAACACGUGGAUAACCUACCUAUAAGACUGGGAUAACUUCGGGAAACCGGAGCUAAUACCGGAUAAUAUAUUGAACCGCAUGGUUCAAUAGUGAAAGACGGUUUUGCUGUCACUUAUAGAUGGAUCCGCGCCGCAUUAGCUAGUUGGUAAGGUAACGGCUUACCAAGGCGACGAUGCGUAGCCGACCUGAGAGGGUGAUCGGCCACACUGGAGCGGAGACACGGUCCAGACUCCUACGGGAGGCAGCAGUAGGGAAUCUUCCGCAAUGGGCGAAAGCCUGACGGAGCAACGCCGCGUGAGUGAUGAAGGUCUUCGGAGCGUAAAACUCUGUUAUUAGGGAAGAACAAAUGUGUAAGUAACUAUGCACGUCUUGACGGUACCUAAUCAGAAAGCCACGGCUAACUACGUG